AGAAUCAACGCUGGCGGCGUGCCUAACACAUGCAAGUCGAACGAGAAAGUGGAGCAAUCCAUGAGUAAAGUGGCGCACGGGUGAGUAACACGUGACUAACCUACCUUUUAGUGGGGGAUAACCUAGGGAAACCUGGGCUAAUACCGCAUAAUACCUUCGGGUCAAAGGAGCAAUUCGCUUAAGGAGGGGUCGCGGCCGAUUAGUUAGUUGGCGGGGUAAUGGCCCACCAAGACUAUGAUCGGUAUCC
rnacentral:rRNA from 1 species